GCCCCUAAAAACAGCGGCACACAGACUGUCUCAAACUGUCUCACAUCUCCGUCUCAAACUGUCUCACACCUCCGUCUGAGACACUGCGCCCGAGCUCCACACAGCGCAGGAGGAGUAACGCAGGAGGAGUAACGCAGGAGGAGUAACGCAGGAGGAGUAACGCAGGAGGAGUAACGCAGGAGGAGUAACGCAGGAGGAGUAACGCAGGAGUCGGUCUCGGAUCUUUACGCGUUUGAAUCAAGACAAACUUUCUCCAGGAUUGACCUGAUUUUACGUGACUAUGGAUCGAUACGACAGUUUGGAUCUGGACCUGGAGUGUGAUGGAGGAGGAGGAGUCUCUCACAAAGCUUCACUGUUUGGAGGAAUGUUUAAGAAAUCUUCAAAGUACCACAGAGAGCACAGAGCGCCCCCUACGGAGCAGAGAGCGCCCCCUACGGAGCACAGAGCGCCCCCUGCGGAGCACACUGCCCCUGUCCACUCAAACGACAAAGGCCGAGCCGUGGGAGCGCCCCCUGUCCCUCCUCCCAGACCGGGACACCUCCGUCGGGCUUCACAGGACAAUUUGGAUUUGGACCCUGACUCCAGAGCUGAUGGUCUGAACGAAAACUCCACGAGCAAAGAGUCCGGUGGUGUGUUUGGGAUCUUUAAAAAGUCUCCUAAAGCCUCACACACGAGACGACCCUCUCAGGAUAUUUUGUCGAGUUCCAUUGACGUCAACGGCAGCAACGAUGACAAUCUGACUCAGGACACGAAGGAGGGAGGAGGGUUCAGCGGGAUGCUCAAAAAAUCAGCAAAAUUUUUCUCUUGGACGCAGUCUCAGGACGAUUUGUCUGAUGGCCCUGAAUCCACUGAAAUCUCUGAGGACACGAAGGAGAAAGGAGGACUUUUUAGUGGCAUGUUUAAAAAGCCAAAAGGAGCAAAAACUCAGUCUCAGGAGGAUCUGACCUCUGACCUCUCCAGCAGCAAAGAGGAGCUCUCAGAUAAUAACA
ensembl:lncRNA